rnacentral:rRNA from 1 species
GACGAACGCUGGCGGCGUGCCUAAUACAUGCAAGUCGAACGCAGUGGGGACGGGUGAGUAACACGUGGGUAACCUCCCAUCAGAGGGGAUAACACUUGGAAACAGGUGCUAAACCGAUACUGAUGGAUGGCACCGCGGUGCAGUAGCUAGUGGGUGAGGGAACGGCUCACCAAGGCCACGAUGCAUAGCCGACCUGAGAGGGGGAUCGGCCACACUGGUACGGGGACACGGCCCAAAUCCCGACGGGAGGCAGCAGUAGGGAAUCUGCGGCAAUGGACGAAAGUCUGACCGAGCAACGCCGCUUGAGUGAAGAAGGUUUUCGGAUCGUAAACCUCUGUUGUUAGAGAAGCGGUAUCUAACCAGAAAGCCACGGCUAACUACGUGCCAGCAGCCGCGGUAAUAC